rnacentral:rRNA from 1 species
GAUGAACGCUGGCGGCGUGCUUAACACAUGCAAGUCGAACGGAAAGGCCCAAGCUUGCUUGGGUACUCGAGUGGCGAACGGGUGAGUAACACGUGGGUGAUCUGCCCUGCACUUCGGGAUAAGCCUGGGAAACUGGGUCUAAUACCGGAUAGGACCACAUUUUGGAUGGUGUGGUGGAAAGUUUUUCGGUGUGGGAUGAGCUCGCGGCCUAUCAGCUUGUUGGUGGGGUAAUGGCCUACCAAGGCGUCGACGGGUAGCCGGCCUGAGAGGGUGUACGGCCACAUUGGGACUGAGAUACGGCCCAGACUCCUACGGGAGGCAGCAGUGGGGAAUAUUGCACAAUGGGCGCAAGCCUGAUGCAGCGACGCCGCGUGGGGGAUGACGGCCUUCGGGUUGUAAACUCCUUUCGCUAGGGACGAAGCGCAAGUGACGGUACCUGGAGAAGAAGCACCGGCUAACUACGUG